rnacentral:rRNA from 1 species
GAUGAACGCUAGCGGCAGGCUUAACACAUGCAAGUCGAGGGGCAGCACAGGUAGCAAUACUGGGUGGCGACCGGCAAACGGGUGCGGAACACGUGCACAAUCUACCUUUAUCUGGGGGAUAGCCCGAAGAAAUUCGGAUUAACACCCCAUAAAAUAACAGAGUGGCAUCACUUAAUUAUUAAAACUCCGGUUGAUAGAGAUGAGUGUGCGUCCCAUUAGCUAGUUGGUAGGGUAACGGCCUACCAAGGCGACGAUGGGUAGCUGGUGUGAGAGCACGACCAGCCACACGGGCACUGAGACACGGGCCCGACUCCUACGGGAGGCAGCAGUGAGGAAUAUUGGUCAAUGGACGCAAGUCUGAACCAGCCAUGCCGCGUGAAGGAUGAAGGCCUUCUGGGUUGUAAACUUCUUUUAUUGGGGAAGAAAAUUAUGGUUUCUACUAUAACCGACGGUACCCAAGGAAUCAGCACCGGCUAACUCCGUGCCAGCAGCCGCCGUAACAC